UCGAACGAGCGAGAGAGAGCUUGCUUUCUUGAGCGAGUGGCGAACGGGUGAGUAACGCGUGAGUAACCUGCCCUAGAGUGGGGGACAACAGUUGGAAACGACUGCUAAUACCGCAUAAGCCCACGGUACCGCAUGGUACUGAGGGAAAAGGAUUUAUUCGCUUUAGGAUGGACUCGCGUCCAAUUAGCUAGUUGGUGAGGUAACGGCCCACCAAGGCGACGAUUGGUAGCCGGACUGAGAGGUUGAACGGCCACAUUGGGACUGAGACACGGCCCAGACUCCUACGGGAGGCAGCAGUGGGGGAUAUUGCACAAUGGGGGAAACCCUGAUGCAGCGACGCCGCGUGGAGGAAGAAGGUUUUCGGAUUGUAAACUCCUGUCGUUAGGGACGAUAAUGACGGUACCUAACAAGAAAGCACCGGCUAACUACGUGCCAGCAGCCGCGGUAAAACGUAGAGUGCAAGCGUUGUCCGGAAUUACUGGGUGUAAAGGGAGCGCAGGCGGGAAGACAAGUUGGAAGUGAAAACCAUGGGCUCAACCCAUGAAUUGCUUUCAAAACUGUUUUUCUUGAGUAGUGCAGAGGUAGAUGGAAUUCCCGGUGUAGCGGUGGAAUGCGUAGAUAUCGGGAGGAACACCAGUGGCGAAGGCGGU
rnacentral:rRNA from 1 species